rnacentral:rRNA from 1 species
GACGAACGCUGGCGGCGUGCUUAACACAUGCAAGUCGAACGGAAAGGCCCUGCUUUUGUGGGGUGCUCGAGUGGCGAACGGGUGAGUAACACGUGAGUAACCUGCCCUUGACUUUGGGAUAACUUCAGGAAACUGGGGCUAAUACCGGAUAGGAGCUCCUGCUGCAUGGUGGGGGUUGGAAAGUUUCGGCGGUUGGGGAUGGACUCGCGGCUUAUCAGCUUGUUUGUGGGGUAGUGGCUUACCAAGGCUUUGACGGGUAGCCGGCCUGAGAGGGUAACCGGCCACAUUGGGACUGAGAUACGGACCAGACUCCAACGGGAGGCAGCAGUGGGGAAUAUUGCAAAAUGGGAGGAAGCAAGAAGAAACAACGCCGCGUGCGGGAUGACGGCCUUCGGGUUGUAAACAGCUUUCGCCUGUGACGAAGCGUGAGUGACGGUAAUGGGUAAAGAAGCACCGGCUAACUACGUG